rnacentral:rRNA from 1 species
CCUACGGGGGGCAGCAGUGGGGGAUAUUGCACAAUGGGGGGAACCCUGAUGCAGCGACGCCGCGUGGGUGAAGGAGCGUUUCGGCGCGUAAAGCCCUAUCGGCAGGGAAGAAGAUGACGGUACCUGACCAAGAAGCCCCGGCUAACUACGUGCCAGCAGCCGCGGUAAUACGUAGGGGGCAAGCGGUAUCCGGAUUCACUGGGUGUAAAGGGAGCGUAGACGGCCAGGCAAGCCUGGAGUGAAAGCCCGGGGCCCAACCCCGGGACUGCUCUGGGAACUGUCCGGCUGGAGUGCGGGAGGGGCAGGCGGAAUUCCUGGUGUAGCGGUGAAAUGCGUAGAUAUCAGGAGGAACACCGGCGGCGAAGGCGGCCUGCUGGACCGCGACUGACGUUGAGGCUCGAAAGCGUGGGGAGCGAACAGGAUUAGAUACCCUUGUAGUC